GACGAACGCUGGCGGCGUGCUUAACACAUGCAAGUCGAACGGAAAGGCCUGCAGCUUGCUGCGGGUCCUCGAGUGGCGAACGGGUGAGUAACACGUGGGUGAUCUGCCUUGCAUUUCGGGAUAAGCUUGGGAAACUGGGUCUAAUACCGGAUCGGACAGCUGUUUUGUGUCAGCUGUGGAAAGUUUUUUCGGUGCUAGAUGAGCUGGCGGCUUAUCAGCUUGCUGGUGGGGUAAUGGCCUACCCAGGCCUCGGAUGGUAGCCGGCCUGGGAGGGUGUACGGCCACAUUGGUACUAAGAUACGGCCCAGUCUCCUACAGGAGACAGCAGGCGGAAAUAUUGCACAAUGGGCGGGAGUCUGAGGCGACGACGCCGCGUUUGUGAUGAAGUCCUGCGGGUUAUAAACACCUUUCGGCAAAGACGAAGCUGUUGUGACGGUACCUGAAGAAGAAGCACCGGCUAACUACGUG
rnacentral:rRNA from 1 species